rnacentral:rRNA from 1 species
GCAUUUUUGACAAUGGGCGAAAGCCUGAUCCAGCAAUGCCGCGUGCCGGAUGACUGCCUUCUGGUUGUAAACUGCUUUUGUACGGAACGAAAAGCUUUGGGUUAAUACCCUGGAGUCCUUACUGGUCCUGAAGAACAAGCACCGGCCAACUACGUGCCUGCAGCAGCGGUAAUACGUAGGGUGCAAGCGUUAAUCGGAAUUACUGGUCGUAAAGAGUGCGGAGGCGGUUUUGUAAGACAGGGGUGAAAUCCCCGGGCUCAACCUGGGAACUGCCUUGGUGACUGCAAGGCUAGAGUACGGCAGAGGGGGGUGGAAUUCCGCGUGUAGCAGUGAAAUGCGUAGAUAUGCGGAGGAACACCGAUGGCGAAGGCAACCCCCUGGGGCUGUACUGACGCUCAUGCACGAAAGCGUGGGGAGCAAACA